rnacentral:misc_RNA from 1 species
AAGUCGUAACAAGGUUUCCGUAGGUGAACCUGCGGAAGGAUCCAAUUAAAAGUGAUUGGAUUAGUACAUUUUCAUGUAUCAACUGCAUUUAAACCCAUUCUGAGUACCCCUGCCUGUUGCUUUCCAGGGGCCUGACCUAGGUCACUCUUGUGAUGUGAAACCCAAGAGAGUCCCCAUGGGAGGUAAUCAUUAAAUUCAUGUAUCCAAUGUCUUCUGUCUGAACUGUUUAUAACAAUGUUAAAA